rfam:Triticum aestivum genome assembly, contig: Triticum_aestivum_CS42_TGACv1_scaffold_288782_4AL
UAUGUACUUCUUCCGUCUGGAAAUACUUGUCGGAGAAAUAGAUAAAAAUGAAUGCAUCUAGAACUAAAAUACAUUUACAUACAUCUAUUUCUCCGACAAGUAUUUGAGGAUGGAGGGAGUACAUG